GAUGAACGCUAGCGGCAGGCUUAAUACAUGCAAGUCGAGGGGCAGCAGCUUUAUAGCAAUAUAGAGGCUGGCGACCGGCAAACGGGUGCGGAACACGUACACAACCUUCCUUUAAGAGGGGGAUAGCCCAUAGAAAUGUGGAUUAAUACCCCGUAACAUAUCGGUGUGGCAUCACACUGUUAUUAUAGUUUUGACGCUUGAAGAUGGGUGUGCGGCUGAUUAGGUAGUUGGCGGGGUAAAGGCCCACCAAGCCUUCGAUCAGUAGCUGAUGUGAGAGCAUGAUCAGCCACACGGGAACUGAGACACGGGCCCGACUCCUACGGGAGGCAGCAGUAAGGAAUAUUGGUCAAUGGACGCAAGUCUGAACCAGCCAUGCCGCGUGAAGGAUGAAGGUCCUCUGGAUUGUAAACUUCUUUUAUAGGGGGCGAAAAAAGGGAAUUCUUUCUCACUUGACAGUACCCUAUGAAUAAGCACCGGCUAACUCCGUGCCAGCAGCCGCCGUAA
rnacentral:rRNA from 1 species